UACAGAGGUCCCAAGCGUUGUUCGGAUUCACUGGGCGUAAAGGGUGCGUAGGCGGUCGGGUAAGUCUGACGUGAAAUCUUCAAGCUCAACUUGGAAACUGCGUCCGAUACUAUUCGGCUAGAGGAAUGGAGGGGAGACUGGAAUACUUGGUGUAGCAGUGAAAUGCGUAGAUAUCAAGUGGAACACCAGUGGCGAAGGCGGGUCUCUGGGCAGUAACUGACGCUGAGGAGCGAAAGCGUGGGGAGCGAACAGG
rnacentral:rRNA from 1 species